GGGCCCUACUUCCGGGCGCCGAGGACAUGGCGGAGUCGAGGGACGCAGCGGUAACAAUCACUGUAUAGAAUCCUAAUAAGUGGCAGUGAGCCUACGGAGCAGCAGUGGACUGUAAAAGAAGUUUCCUCACUGCCAGCAGCUACAGAACCUGCCCGACUCCAUCG